AUCUUACACAUCUAUUCAAAC
rnacentral:misc_RNA from 1 species